rnacentral:lncRNA from 1 species
UCACCAGCUUGAUGUCCCAAAUGUGAGCUGAACAAGGAAGGACACCACCAUAAUUAGUUCUAAUAAUGUAUGGGUUCUGAUCUGGAUCAUCAGGAGUUUAGACACGGGAAGAAGUUGGCGCUUGGAAGAAUUAAAUAGAAGGCAAGGUCAAAGCCCGAGCAGUGCACAUGUUUGGAACUGAAAUGGAAUAUUUCUGCCACUUUGCUCUUCUUCUGAUACACCUCAUAUAAUAUAAAACCCCCGUGGAUUCAUGUAAUAAUUAGUAUAGAUGUCUCUUCAUAUUAUUAGCUGACAGUUAACCUCCAUAUGACUUGAAGCAUCCAGUGUUUAAGACAAAUCUGUAGCACUUAUCUUAGGAGAGGUUAGAAGAAGGAGAGGCAGCUCUGUGUGAGUGCUAAGGGGCAGGGUUUCCUGAGCAGCUCUGUGGGCGGUUUCUCUAAUGCUGGCUGCAGUGGGCAUCAUGGCCAGUGCUGUUCCAUUUCCUCGGUGACUGCGCAUAUUUAUUGUAAAGGUGUGUCUUUGUAUUAAUAUGCAACUGGUGUAGGUUUUAAAUGCUGGCUUCCAAUC